rnacentral:lncRNA from 1 species
CUUGCCCCCUUCCAUUCCCGAUUCCUCAGCCUCUUAUUGCCUCUCAACUCACCGGCCUCUUCCCGUCUCAAUCUCCGGCCUCCACCUCUCCCCGUCUCAAUCUCCGGCCUUCGCCGUCUGUCUGUCUCGCCGUUUCACCUCUUCUUUGGUUGAGGUUCAGCUGUGGAGGCGUGGCUGACUGAAUUUAUCUCCCCACUUUGCCUGUUGGUGGUUCGGCGCUUCAUUUUCCCUAUCUAAUUUACGGUAACUUUCUGGUUAUCCACUCCUAUAGACCUACGUCAAAAAAUAGAUGUAUGUGUAUUAUUUUUGAUACAUUGAAUUAUAUAUUUGAUUGAGUUAUGAGAUAAUUGAGUUUUGUGAGAGAAUUACCUUUGUACAAAAUCCCGUACCC